ACACGUAUUUGGCAUUUCAUCAACAGUUGCCACGCAUAAAAAGACUCACUAAAAAACCACCGCCCCUUCUCCAUCUUUAAAAAAAACCACCGCACAGGAGAUGGAAAUACAGAGCGCUAGCAUGAAGGAUCAAGAUCCGGUGGCUGCUGAUGAUGACGGUGUUCAUUGAUCGUCAUCAAUCAUCAUCGCUGUCGAUGGUGGCGCUCCGAUGCUCCAAUCGACGUAUGCUCAGGUUUAUGCUUUUGAUUCAUGUUGUGUUCGUAUGAGAAAAAAGGAGUAUCAAUUUUUGAAGUGUUCGUAUGAGGAGAAAGGAGUAUCAAUUUUUUAUACCGUCACAGGUCUAUCGUUGAGUAGCAGUUUACAGUGACGAGAAACACAAAUUUGCAGAUGGAGUAAUUUUCGCCCUUGACCGAUGGAGAAUUGGUACCUACGUCUUCGCCGUGUCGUUAUCAUCUAUGUUUCAUAGUUUGAAGACAAUAAAUUGUAAAAAUAGGUUGUGGUAGUGCGAGCAAGGGUGGUGAUGUUGGCACUAGAAUGCGAGCACACACUUUAUAUGAUUGUGAGAUGUACCAGGGUACCACAUCGACCACCCAAUUUUGCGAGUAACGAUGCGCCAUAAUUUCAGUAUUUAUCGAUUAAGCAUACAACCAUUCCGGCUAGAAGACGGAAUUAAUUAGCUUUUAGGUUGCUCAUUUUGACCCGUUUAAAGACGGCCUUUUUUCUGGUUGAUCCAUAUAAAAACGCGUUGGCCAUUUAACCCGUUUAAGUGUUUUUUCCUUACUAUUUAAAUAAAUUCUAUUAUUUCUCGGUUUACUAUAAAAAAGUUCUUAUCUUUUCCUUUUCUAAGUGUUCGCACACAAUAAUUAGGGCUACUCACAACGCUGCUAGACAUCGAUGUUUUGAAAGCUUAUUUGACAUCAAAUCUUUUUUUGCUGAACAGACCUUCGAUUUUGAUCACUAUUGUUUCCUUAUCCGCCCUUGGAUGUGUGACUGAUCAGCGAUUCCAACAACUUUGCCAGUUCAUGCUUUAGCCUUUUGGUCAUGGAUAAUACUAUUAUUCUUUGGUAACUAUGCAAGCAUGGAUGGAUAUAAAAUGUCUACUUACAACUUCUCUCGCUUCACUGGCUCGGUGUUCUCCAUCAUUGUGCCGGCAUUCUCCAUCGCGGACGCACCAGAACCACAUUUCACCAGAUUGGUGCAUCAAAGAAUUAAUUAGACUUUCUCAGUACAAGACCCUGUCGAUUAAGGUAACCACGGGAUUUAUUGUACCCAUAUAGAAUGAGAGUGUAAGAAAACAUGUGUUCUUUAAAAAUACAUUUGGCAUGUGUUGUUACACCAAGAAUUAUUCGGUUUAACGUGAUAGUGGUAUGAGUUGUAAUGUAAAA